GAAAACUUUACAAUGUGCGAAAGCACGAUAAGGGAACUCUGAGUGCCUCCUAAGGAGGCUGUUCAGGUGUCUAAAAAGCACCUGAAGGAAGGGCUGGGUAAGACCGGUGCCAGCCGCCGCGGUAACACCGGCAGCCCAAGUGGUAGCCAUGCUUAUUGGGUCUAAAGCGUCCGUAGCCGGCCAGGUAAGUUCUUUGGGAAAUUUAACCGCUUAACGGUCAAGCUUUCAGGGAAUACUGCCCGGCUUGGGACCGGGAGAGGUCAGAGGUACUCCCCGGGUAGGGGUGAAAUCCAUUAAUCCUUGGGGGACCACCGGUAGCGAAGGCGUCUGACCAGACCGGGUCCCMCGGUGAGGGACGAAGGCUAGGGUCGCGAACCGGAUUAGAUACCCGGGUAGUCCUAGCUGUAAACGAUGCGGGCCAGGUGUUGGUAUUACUGCGAGUGAUGCCAGUGCCGAAGGGAAGCCGUUAAGCCC
rnacentral:rRNA from 1 species